rnacentral:rRNA from 1 species
UACGUAGGGUCCAAGCGUUGUCCGGAAUUAUUGGGCGUAAAGAGCUCGUAGGUGGUGUGUCGCGUCGGAUGUGAAAUCCCAGGGCUUAACUCUGGGUCUGCAUUCGGUACGGGCAUGCUGGAGUUCGGUAGGGGAGACUGGAAUUCCUGGUGUAGCGGUGAAAUGCGCAGAUAUCAGGAGGAACACCGGUGGCGAAGGCGGGUCUCUGGGCCGAUACUGACACUGAGGAGCGAAAGCGUGGGGAGCGAACAGG